CAAGAGAAUCAAAAGACACGAUACAGGAACAGACAGUGUCAGUCACGGGUUGCAGAGACGUGGGGCAUAAGGACCAUGACGAAGGAUCUCGUCGUAAUCGUGAAAGCUAAAAAAGAUGCAACAACGAUAAGAAUGCAAGCAGCUGGACUUCCUGAUGUCCGCCACGAAGUGUCGCCGUGUCCGUCACCUCAUAAUUAUUUAUUAUAUUCGCAUGUACAGCCGACGAUUUUCCUGGUGGAGCCCUAACAGAGAUAGCCAAGACAAGCACGGUCCGUUGCCGGUUCAGGAUCUAUAUAACAGAAAUCUCCCGCGAAGAAAGAAUGUCUUUUCGUCGUCCUGUCAGGUCGUCGGAGGAGAAGUGAGACAUCGGGGAAUGUGUGACUAUACAAUAUGUAUGUGGAGGACAGUGGUGCUGCCUGGUCACGGAAACACAAACAGGUUCUCCGUAACAUCCAACGCAAACCUAAAACGGAAGUACCAACCGGUGCACAAGUAGCAACCGCCUCGAAACGGCGAAGAAAUCACCAUCGAAUGGGAUAAAGUACCAAUCGGAUGAGACAUUCUGGACACUGCAGCCUCUUCGAAGAAAUGACCAACUAACGCAGAAGAUGGUGGAGCCAGCAGGACCACACAGUACGAAGUCUCUAUCUCCUGUAUGUAAAGCACCCAAGAUAGACCCUUAAAACCCUUAAAAUCGUA